rnacentral:rRNA from 1 species
UACGUAGGGGGCGAGCGUUACCCGGAAUCACUGGGCGUAAAGGGAGCGUAGGUGGCCUGACAUGUCGACUGUGAAAACCCGGAGCUCAACUCCGGACUUGCAGUUGAAACUGGUAGGCUUGAGGACGGUAGAGGAAGACGGAACUGCCAGUGUAGGGGUAAAAUCCUUAGAUAUUGGCAGGAACGCCGGUGACGAAGGUGGUUUUCUGGGCCGGUUCUGACACUGAUGCUCGAAAGCCAGGGGAGCGAACGGGAUUAGAUACCCUGGUAGUCCCUGAGCGGGCUGGCAA